GGUUCAGUGGUCUAAUGGUUAUGAUUUCUGUCUCACAUCACGUCAGGAGGUUUGCUCACAGAAGGUUCCCGGUUCGAUCCUGGGCUGAAUCA